GACGAACGCUGGCGGCGUGCUUAACACAUGCAAGUCGAACGGAAAGGCCCUGCAUUUGUGGGGUGCUCGAGUGGCGAACGGGUGAGUAACACGUGAGUAACCUGCCCUUGACUUUGGGAUAACUUCAGGAAACUGGGGCUAAUACCGGAUAGGAGCUCCUGCUGCAUGGUGGGGGUUGGAAAGUUUCGGCGGUUGGGGAUGGACUCGCGGCUUAUCAGCUUGUUGGUGGGGUAGUGGCUUACCAAGGCUUUGACGGGUAGCCGGCCUGAGAGGGUGACCGGCCACAUUGGGACUGAGAUACGGCCCAGACUCCUACGGGAGGCAGCAGUGGGGAAUAUUGCACAAUGGGCUGAAGCCUGAUGCAGCAACGCCGCGUGCGGGAUGACGGCCUUCGGGUUGUAAACCGCUUUCGCCUGUGACGAAGCGUGAGUGACGGUAAUGGGUAAAGAAGCACCGGCUAACUACGUG
rnacentral:rRNA from 1 species